GUCCCCAUAGCUCAGCUGGAUAGAGCGCUUCCCUUCUAAGGAAGAGGUCGUUGGUCCGAUCCCAACUGGGGAUA
rnacentral:tRNA from 1 species